GAUGAGGUCCCAUGGGUUUAUUUUUGCUCUAAUUUCUAUUGCUUUGGGAGACUGACCUGAGAAAAUAUUCAUGAUGUUGAUGUCAGAGAGUGUUUUGCCUAUGUUUUCUUCUAGGAGUUUGAUGGUGUCCUGUCGUAUAUUUAAGUCUUUCAGCCAUUUGGAGUUUAUUUUUGUGCAUGGUGUGAGGGUGUGUUCUAGUUUCAUUGCUUUGCAUGCAGCUGUCCAGGUUUCCCAGCAAUGCUUGCUGAAUAGACUUUCUUUUUCCCAUUUUAUGUUCUUGCCUCCCUUGUCAAAGAUUAAUUGACCAUAGGUGUCAGGGUUUAUUUCCGGAUUCUCUAUUCUGUUCCAUUGGUCUGUCUGUCUGUUUUGAUACCAGUACCACACUGUUUUGAUGACUGUGGCUUUGUAGUAUUUCUUGAAGUCUGGGAGAGUUAUGCCUCCUGCUUGGUUUUUGUUUCUCAGGAUUGCUUUGGCGAUUCUGGGUCUUUUGUGGUUCCAUAUAAAUGUUUGGAUUGUUUGUUCUAGUUCUGUGAAAAAUUUCCUGGGUAAUUUGAUAGGGAUUGCAUUGAAUCUGUAGAUUGCUUUGGGUAGUAUGGCCAUUUUUUACAAUAUUGAUUUUCCCAAUCCAGGAACAUGGAAUAUCUUUCCAUUUCUUUACAUCUUCUUUGAUUUCUUUGAUUAAGGUUUUAUAGUUCUCGGCAUAUAGGUCCUUUACCUCCUUGGUCAGGUGUGUUCCGAGGUAUUUGAUUUUGUGAGGUGCAAUUUUAAAAGGUAUUGUAUUUUUGUGUUCCUUUUCUAAUAUUUCAUUGCUGCAUGAUAAUUUCUAAGUCCAUCCAUGUUGCUAAAAAUGCCGGUAUUUCGUUCUUUUUAAUGGCUGAGUAAUAUUCCAUUGUGUAUAUGUACCACAUCUUCUGGAUCCACUCCUCUGUCCAUGGACAUUUAGGUUGUUUCCAUGUCUUAGCUAUUGUAAAGAGUGCUGCAAUGAACAUUGGAGUACAUGUGUCUUUGCAAGUUAUGGUUUUCUCUGGAUAGAUGCCUGGGAGUGGGAUUGCUGGGUCAAAUGGUAGUUCUAUGUUUAGUUUUCUGAGGAAUCUCCAUACUGUUUUCCACAGUGUUUGCACCAAUUGACAAUUACACCAACAGUGUACUUAGGUUCCUUUUUCUCCACACCCUCUCUGGGAGUUCGUUUGUAGACUUUUGGAUGAUGGCCAUUCUGGCUGGUGUAAGGUGGUACCUCAUAGUGGUUUUGAUUUGCAUUUCUUUAAUAAUGAGUGAUGUUGAACGUCUUUUCAUGUGUUUCGAGGCCAUCUGUAUGUCUUCUUUGGAGAACUGUCUGUUUAGAUCUUCUGCCCAUUUUUGGAUGGGGUUGUUUAUUUUUUUGGUAUGGAAAUGCAGAAGGUGUUUGUAAAUUUUGGAGAUUAAUCCCUUGUUCGUCAAUUCACUUGCAGAGAUUUUCUCUCCUUCUGUGGGUUGUCUUUUUCUGUUAUUUAGGGAUUAGUUUGCUGUGCAGAAACUUUUCAGUUUGAUUAGGUCCCAUUUGUUUAUUUUUAUUGUCAACACUCUGAUAGGUGGAUCUGAGAAGAUGUUGCUGUCAUUUACGUCAGAGAGUGUUUGGCCUUGGUUUUUCUCUAAGAGUUUUAUAGUGUCUGGUCUUAUAUUUAGGUCUUUAAUCCAUUUGGAGUUUCUCUUUGUGUGGUGUUAGGGAGUGUUCUAAUUUCAUUCUUUUCCAUGUGGCUGUCCAGUUUUCCCAGCACCACUUAUUGAACAAGCUGUCCUUUCUCCAUUGUAUAUCCUGCCUCCUUUGUCAUAGAUGAGUUGGCUGUAGGUGCGUGGGUUUAAUUCUGGGCUUUCUGUCCUUUUCCACUGAUCUACGUCUGUCUUUGUGCCAGUACCAUGCGGUUUUGAUGAUUGUUGCUUUGUAGUAUAGCCUGAAGUCCAGGAGCCUGAUUCCUCCAGCUCUUUCUUUCUUUUUCAGGAUGUCUUUGGCUAUUCUGGAUAUUUUGUGCUUCCAAACAAACUUUAAAAUAUUUUGUUCGAGUUCUGUGCAAAAAGUCCUUGGUACUUUGAUAGGGAUUGCAUUGAAUCUGUAGAUUGCUUUAGGCAGUAUAGUCAUUUUGAUAAUGUUAAGUCUUCCAAUCCACGAGCAUGGUAUAUCUUUCCAUCUAUUUGUGUUAUCUUUGAUUUCUUUCAUCAGUGGCUUAUAGUUUUCAGAAUACAGGUCUUCGGUCUCAUUAGGUAGGUUUACUCCUAGGUAUUUUAUUCUUUUGGAUGUGAUGGUAAAUUGGAUUGCUUCUCUAAUUUCUUUUUCUGCUCUUUCAUUGUUAGUGUAUAGAAAUGCCAUCAAUUUCUGUGUAUUAAUUUUGUAUCCUGCAGCAUUGCCAAAUUUGCAGAUGAGCUCUAACAGUUUUCUGGUAGAGUCAUUAGGAUUCUCUAGGUAUAGUAUCAUGUCAUCUGCAAAUAGUGAUACUUUUACUUCUUCCUUUCCAAUUUGGAUUCCUUUUAUUUCUUUUACUUCUCUGAUUGCCGUGGCUAG
ensembl:lncRNA